rnacentral:snRNA from 1 species
AUACUUCCCUGGCAGGGGAGACACCAUGAUCAGGCAGGUGGUUUUCCCAGGGCGAGGCUCAUCCCCUGCACUCCAUAUGUGCUGCCCCCUGCGAUUUCCCCAAUUUUUCAAGAAGGAAGAUCCAGGUAAUUACGGGCCAGUCACCUC